rnacentral:rRNA from 2 species
CUUUGACCUCGGAUCAGGUAGGGAUACCCGCUG